rnacentral:rRNA from 1 species
UGGCUCAGGAUGAACGCUAGCUACAGGCUUAACACAUGCAAGUCGAGGGGCAUCAGGAAGAAAGCUUGCUUUCUUUGCUGGCGACCGGCGCACGGGUGAGUAACACGUAUCCAACCUGCCCUUUACUCGGGGAUAGCCUUUCGAAAGAAAGAUUAAUACCCGAUAGCAUAAUGAUUCCGCAUGGUUUCAUUAUUAAAGGAUUCCGGUAAAGGAUGGGGAUGCGUUCCAUUAGGUUGUUGGUGAGGUAACGGCCCACCAAGCCUUCGAUGGAUAGGGGUUCUGAGAGGAAGGUCCCCCACAUUGGAACUGAGACACGGUCCAAACUCCUACGGGAGGCAGCAGUGAGGAAUAUUGGUCAAUGGGCGCUAGCCUGAACCAGCCAAGUAGCGUGAAGGAUGAAGGCUCUAUGGGUCGUAAACUUCUUUUAUAUAAGAAUAAAGUGCAGUAUGUAUACUGUUUUGUAUGUAUUAUAUGAAUAAGGAUCGGCUAACUCCGUGCCAGCAGCCGCGGUAAUACGGAGGAUCCGAGCGUUAUCCGGAUUUAUUGGGUUUAAAGGGAGCGUAGGUGGACUGGUAAGUCAGUUGUGAAAGUUUGCGGCUCAACCGUAAAAUUGCAGUUGAUACUGUCAGUCUUGAGUACAGUAGAGGUGGGCUGAAUUCGUGGUGUAGCGGUGAAAUGCUUAGAUAUCACGAAGAACUCCGAUUGCGAAGGCAGCUCACUGGACUGCAACUGACACUGAUGCUCGAAAGUGUGGGUAUCAAACAGGAUUAGAUACCCUGGUAGUCCACACAGUAAACGAUGAAUACUCGCUGUUUGCGAUAUACAGUAAGCGGCCAAGCGAAAGCAUUAAGUAUUCCACCUGGGGAGUACGCCGGCAACGGUGAAACUCAAAGGAAUUGACGGGGGCCCGCACAAGCGGAGGAACAUGUGGUUUAAUUCGAUGAUACGCGAGGAACCUUACCCGGGCUUAAAUUGCAGUGGAAUGAUGUGGAAACAUGUCAGUGAGCAAUCACCGCUGUGAAGGUGCUGCAUGGUUGUCGUCAGCUCGUGCCGUGAGGUGUCGGCUUAAGUGCCAUAACGAGCGCAACCCUUAUCUUUAGUUACUAACAGGUUAUGCUGAGGACUCUAGAGAGACUGCCGUCGUAAGAUGUGAGGAAGGUGGGGAUGACGUCAAAUCAGCACGGCCCUUACGUCCGGGGCUACACACGUGUUACAAUGGGGGGUACAGAAGGCAGCUAGCGGGUGACCGUAUGCUAAUCCCAAAAUCCUCUCUCAGUUCGGAUCGAAGUCUGCAACCCGACUUCGUGAAGCUGGAUUCGCUAGUAAUCGCGCAUCAGCCACGGCGCGGUGAAUACGUUCCCGGGCCUUGUACACACCGCCCGUCAAGCCAUGGGAGCCGGGGGUACCUGAAGUACGUAACCGCAAGGAUCGUCCUAGGGUA